AAGAAAAAAAGAAGAAGAUAAAUAACGGGUUUGAACUUCACGCCUGAAAUACAAUGACUUUCGCUAUAAAUGUUGUCAAGCCUGAGUAGUUAAAAAUUUAAAAUCCCAUAAAAAUGGAGGAGAAGAGUUACAGUAGGGUCUGCAUCACAGGAGGAUCUGGAUUUGUUGGUUCCUGCCUUGUCAAAAAGCUUCUGGAGAAAGGUCAUACCGUCCAUGCAACUCUGAGGAACCAAGGGGACACGUCCAAAGUAGAUCUCCUGAAGUCCUUUCCAAAUGCAGAGAACAAAUUAGUGCUGUUUCAAGCUGAUAUUUACAAUCCCACUGAGUUCGAACCUGCAAUUACAGGGUGUGAAUAUGUUUUUCAUGUGGCUACCCCAAUGUUACAUAACACCCAAAGCUCUCAGUACAAGGAUACGGCUGAAGCGGCUGUUGCCGGGGUUAGGGUCAUCGCUGAUGCUUGUAUCCGGUCGAAAACCGUGAAGCGGCUCAUCUACACUGCGUCUGUAAUGUCCUCUUCACCUUUGACAGAAGAUGGAGUCUGUUUCAAGUCUUGCGUUGAUGAAACCUGUUGGACACCUUUUGAUGUUUCCUUCACUUAUACCAAUGACUUUACAAUGGGAUACAUUAAAUCAAAGACACUAGCAGAGAAAGAGAUUCUGAAUUAUAAUGAAUAUGAUAAUAGUAGGCUUGAAGUUGUAACACUUGCUUGCGGCGUAGUGGGAGGAGAAACACUUCUUCCUUAUGUACCAUCAUCUGUGGAAAUAAUUUUAUCUCUGCUUUCAGGCAAUUUAAUUUUCUCAAAUACAUUGAAGUUUUUGCAAGAACUUUUGGGUUCAAUUCCUCUUGUUCACAUUGAAGACAUUUGUCAAGCACAUAUCUUCUGCAUAGAAAACCAAUCAAUGAAAGGUAGAUUCCUCUGUGCUGCCACAAAUCCAACCAUAAGAGCGAUUGCAAGUUCCUUCCAAGAAAAGUUUCCAGAAUAUCAGAUAGCGAAAGAGCUUUAGGUGAACAGGUAUGACAAGCUAUUGAAGUUGGUUGGAUUAAGCCAAAGGAAGCGCCGGUGGAUUGGGAUGAUGCAACAAUCAUAGCAGCAAAUUUCAAUAGUAGGGCCUUGAAUGCCUUGUUUUUUGGGGUGACCAAUGAGGAAUUCAAGAAAAUAUCAUCCACGGAAGUUGCUAAGGAAGCAUGGACCAUUCUUGAAACCACCUAUGAAGGCUAUUAAGGACAAGGUGAAGGAAAAAGAAGAACCCGCAGAGAGGCCGGGCCAGUUGGAAUUCAAGGUU